CUGGCAAUCUCUCCUCCCCUGAAUCAGUCUUGGAUGAAACACCCACAGGAUUUCUGAACCUGGGCUUCUGUGAAGAAGAUUCAUCCCAGGAGCCAGACAUUCCCAGUGACCAGCCCCAGGUGGCACCCACAACAUCUGGAUCCAGGCCAUUCAGGGUCUGGAAGCUGGUGAGGAAGCAAAUGUCCCAUGCACUGAGAGCACUGUACAGCUGCUGCUGCUGUUGCUGCCUGCCCACCCCAAGUGUGGAAACUGAAAUGGCCCAAUAGAAUUCCAGACCUGGUGAGGAGUGACUGCCACAGAAGUGAGCCAGAACUCAUCUCCAGAGUGCCAGCUUCCUCCAACCCACGGCAACAGGCUCCUGCCUGCAUUCAUCCUCCAGCUAUUGGGUCUGAGCUGCCACUUUGCAUCUCUUUCAGCUUAAUCCAGCUUCAGAAAUGUUGUGGGACAAUUGGGGUUCAUAAAGCACAUGGACCCCAUGACUCUCUACCUUCCUAGCUUUGGUUGUGCUUUUAGGACCACUCACACUGCAUGGAAAACAGCAGGGUCUACAACCAGGAAGGACUUCAUACCAAUCACGGCUGCUCAUCAUCUUGGUCACUUUAACCCUCCAACUUACUCUGUGACUGCCUUUUGGACAAAACAGCAAGACCUGUGUAAAUCCUCUGGAAAAUGGAGAGCUAGGGUAUAGCAGGAGAAAAGUGCAGCACUAUUGGUCAGUGGAGUUCCAUCCUCCUCAGCGCUGACCUCCUUCAUCCAGGAUUCCCUUGCUGUCUCCCACCUCCUGAUCCAAGAAUCUUACAUCAUUUUUUCCAUCUCAUGGAGGGAUUUAUAACUGACAUUUGACCUUACAUUAACAUUGUUCUGCUUCAAUGUGGGAAGGACACCUUCCAGGUAGGGAGCAGAUCACUGAUUUGGCAAGGGGAAAUGAACUCAACAGCAAAUCCAGGGUCUAAUUUGUGUGAAUCAUGGGCCUGCAGAGACUGAUGCAUAUUAAAGUCUUCAGCAAGGUCUUCCCAGCAGCUGUCAGUUAAUUCUAAAACCCUGACCAUCUGGUUCAGGGAUUGAAGUGAAGGUUCUUUCAUCCAGGAUGGACUACAAACAGCAGCAAAGUCCAAAUCUUACCUUCAGAAUAGAAGUCUAUGUCCACCAGUGAACAGAUACCUGGAGGAUACACACUGCAGUCCAGGCACAAAUCCCAUCACUUCAACCUGACCAACCAGGAGUGUCCAGAUUGGCUACCUGGUCUAAUUGAUUGAGUUCUUUCCAUUUGAGCCUUGAGAUCACAGCUGAGGACUCAAGUGAUGAGCUCUCUACAUCAGGAGACACAGGGUGGUGACUUGCAGGUGUGGCCUGAGUCAGCAGAAGCUGGAGCUCUGCAGGAAGUCCAGAUGGCAGUGUGCCCACUUCCUCAGCAUGAAGGGUCUGUGUCCAGCACAGGAGGAGGAAAGUGACAGCAAGCUGGAGGAAAAUGGGUACCACUUUGGAUGGAAUGCUAGGACAUUGCUCCACUUUGGAAGGUCAGGGAUUGAACUGAAGGUACUGUCAUCCAGGAUGGAUUACAAACAGCAGCAAAGUCCAAAUCUACCCUUCAGAGUAGAAGUCUAUGUGCACCACUGAACAGAUACCUGGAGGUGAGAACUGCUGUCAUGAAUUCUUCUGGGGACACCAGUCAGUGGGCUGGAGAAGGAUUCCCCACUGCAGUGCAGGCAUAAAUCCCAUGACCUCAACCUGACCAAUCAGGAGAGUCCAGAUUGGCUACCUGGUCUGAUGGAUUGAGUUCUGUCCAUUUGAGCCUUGAGAUCACAGCUGAGGACUCAAGGUGUCCAUCUGUGACAUCCCUUCUUUCUCGGAUCUUGGUGGAACCUCCAUUUGUAGCAGUAACGCCUGCACUACCACCACCUGUUCACCAUGUCCUAGUGAGGGGCUGUGGAUCAAAAAACAGAGUGAUGAACUCUCUACAUCAGGAGACACAAGGUGGUAACUUUCAGGUGUGGCCUGAGACAUCAGAAGUAGGAGCUCUGCAGGAAGUCCAGAUGGCAGUGUGCCCACUUCCCCAGCAUGAAGGGUCUAUGUCCAGCACAGGAGGAGAUCUGCAGGUUCUGGUGGAUAUGUUCAGACAAACCUCAUCUUCACCAUAUGUGCAUCCUGUCUCAUCCAGG